CUAUGUAGUCGCAAAGGAGCUAAAUAAAAGUAAGUAGUUGAAAAGUUGCUAAUUAGAUAAAAUUGUCAUUGAUGACCUUUUGGUUGCUAGACGUUCGUGUUAUAAUCCCAUCCACCCUGACCAACCACCCUCCUUUCAUUUUUGCCCUUAAGUAACCUUCUGUUUUAUGUAACCAAAUGUAACAAAUCAUACUAAUUUGAGUGUCCAGGAUUUACAUGUACUAUGUUACGUCUAGUCUAUGAGACCAGGCUGUCACACUACACCGUUCAACAGUAGACCUGGAUGACUAAUCUCCUUACUGAUCGCACAACGUUAUCUAGUCUGGCAGCACCUUACCCAAUCACUGCUCACCUUUGAGAGGGUUCUUGUGUAUUGUUACAAAUCAAAUAACCAUAAUGCUCAAUUUUCUGUAAUUUCAGAGCUGUAAUUUCUGUCAUUUCUAUUAAGCUUUUGACACCAUAACACUCAAGAUGCAGUCAAUAUGAUUUACAGCAAUCAAGAUUUGCAAUUGAUGUCAUCCUUCAUCAUGCAGUUCAAUUCUGAACUGGCCUCUUUUAGGGAAAUCAAAUCAGCAGCACAUGGGGUGUUGUAGGUUGAGGAGAACAUCUCUAACUGUUCUUUUAUAUAAUGUGUGAGAUUUUCACCGUCCACUCUGCACCCCCAGUUAGAUUCUCUUGAACUCUGAUAGAAGAGUUUUGGACUGAGCCUGUGUAUGAGGUGCUAAUCCAAACUAAAACCAUGUCAUGGGAUUUAUAGGGGCAAUCUGCAGUUCGAACAAUAACAAAGUAGGCACUCCACCACUGAUUUGGUAAACAGCUGAGGCAUGGGGCUGGAGAAAUGUAACCACUCCCAAAGUCACGGACAGAGCUAUGGAUAGAAGGACUAAACCAUUCAUGAUAUCAAAAGUAUAGUUUUAUUCAUGAUUUGAGGCUGUACAGUGUGUGUUUACAUUUACAUUGUUUGCAAACAUUGGGGUAAAACAAGUUUAUUUUAGGUUCAGAUUGAGUACGACAGUGGAGCUAAGCUCAUAAGUUAUAUUCUUCAAUAAUCAAUGGGUCUAUAUCAUUAAUUUAGAAGUCGAAAUAUUGAUGUUUUAACUGCAGAUUGUCCCUUUAAGUGCCCCUGUACUAUGUCUCUAGACGUCAGAUUGUUUUUAUGAGGGGAGCGGGACAUAGAGGAGUGACGAAUGCCUGGCCUGGCCCAUAAUGCUGGCAUGUGGUCAAGUUCCUCUUUCAUAGACAUGGAUGACUCCCUAUCGGCCAGUGAGGAUAUAAAAACCACAGAACCAAGUCUUCAUACAGCCAGUGUUCAGGCAAACACAUCACGGGACUAACUUUCACUGAACAGGAGAAGAUAUAAGGCCUUAGUGGGAGUUGGCUGUAAAAGCAAUCACGGACAGAGUACCCAUGGCAUCGACACACUCUAACCUCUCAAUGGCCACCAACUCGUCAGAAGAUCUAAUGAUCAAUUCUUCCUCAUGUGAUUCCAUCUCCCCCUCUCUGCAUCAGAACAAGCUGAUCCCCACCAUCUACAGUGUCAUCUUUGUCCUUGGUUUCGUGGGCAAUAUCUUGGUGGUGUUCGUGUUAUGUCAAAAGUCCAACCGUAAAACAGUGGCCAACACUUACAUUGUAAACUUGGCCCUUUCAGAUCUGUUGUUCCUGAUCAGCCUGCCCUUCUGGGCAAUCUACUACUCCUUUGACUACAACUGGAUGUUUGGUGGGCUGAUGUGUAAGCUAUGUGGCUGCCUCCUCUCCCUGAACGUCUACGCCAGCAUCUACUUCAUCACCUGUAUGAGUGUGGACCGAUACAGAGCCAUUGUCUAUCCCCUCCAGUCUCAGUGCAGCAGGAACCUGUGUCGGGCGCGUGUGAUCAGCGGUGUGAUCUGGACCAUUGCCGGCCUCAUGACCAUCCCCACCAUGGCCUUCCGAGACACCUACCACCUGAAGGAGCUGGGGGUCACGGCCUGCGUCCUCACCUACCCACCUACCCAGCCCUACUGGUUCCCAGGCCUGGCCCUGACCAAGAACAUUCUGGCCUUCUUGGUGCCCUUCACAGUCAUCGCCAGCUGCUACUGCCGCAUCGGGAAGCACCUCCUGGGGGGACAGCCCAGCCUGGACAAGAGUUCCAGCAACCUGGACCGCGUAAUGAAGAUGGUGGUGGCUGUGGUGCUGGCCUUCUUCGUCUGCUGGUUCCCCUUCCACGUGCUGACCUUCCUGGACGCCCUGAGCACCCUGGGGGUGAUGCACAGCUGUUGGGUGCGCCAGGCCAUCAUUACCCUGAUGCCCUUCACCCUCUGCCUGGGCUUCUCCAACAGCGCCAUCAACCCUUUCCUCUACUGCUUUGUGGGGAACCACUUCCGGGAGCAGCUGUGGCGGCUGUACGAGGAGAAGGCUCCCAGGCUGUCCCAAAAGAGAGACUCCAUCAGCACCAGGCUCAGCUCCUUCUCCAGGAAGCUCAGCGACCUCAAGGACACAGGGCCACUGGAGACUCUGGACCAACACAGUAGGGGCCCCUAGUCUAGGGAGGUUACAUGGCAGGACUAUGAGAGGCCUGUCUGUCAGAUGUGUAACAGUUGACACCGGGGAUCCUGAAUAACCCCCAGGCCUAAUCUCCAGGGGACGUUACCCCCCCCCCCCCUAUCUACUCCUAAUUAGGGACACCCUGCCGGCUGGACAGAGGGAAUAUAAACAUAGAUUUAAAUGUCAGUUUAACAUCCCAUGCCACCAAGCUCAUGUUAGGGGGAAGGGAUAUUAUAUCACCAAAUCUACAGUAUAUGUGCUGGGUAAACCUGUCAUGUUUUCUGAGAUACACAGGCCAGUGUGAUAAUAAGUGUGUGAAAUAUACAACUACAGUGUAUGUGCCUUUGUACUAGUUACAAUAAUGUGAUAUGUGUAUGUUGUUUUUAUUGUAUAUAAGUAACAAAAAUAUGUCAAUGAACACAGAGCCUUCUAAACGGCAAGAAAAGGUCCAUGCAAACGCCUACUGUGAACUGUGUAAUUUGUCUCUUGAACCAUAAUUAACAUUGUAUUGUGUCAAAUGUACAACCCUUAUCAGGAUACGCUAUGAAUGAUAUGUUUUCCAGUCACUCUUCAUUUGAUAUAACAGAACAAUGAAAGCCAGACAGUAACGGCAGUCUUCUUGGUGUGAAAACAAAACAUAUAUUCAGUUAAGGCCAUGAUCAAGUUGAACAUGGGAAAGCCAGGAGUUGAGUUUGCAUCACAUUGUAGCAAUUUGAAGAUGCAUUUGAUUGUUUGUCAUAUAAUCACAACUUGCUGUUUUUUUCCUCCUGACAUUUCUGUUUGCAACAGUAAUGGAGACAAGGACAUAGACUGAGUAACAAGCAUUGAUAUAGGCAGUUUUACUGCCACUCUGUGGCUGGGUUUGAUAACUGCAGGUGCAAAGGAAUUCUCUCUGAUUGAUAAUUGUGUAGUUUUUACUUCAAAUUGUAGUUUUAGUUAUUAAAACCCUUCCAGACCCAUCAUAUUAUCAACUAAUAUGGUCUGAACAUUACAAUGAACAGAAUAGGGAAAAACAAAGCAAGGUGAUGUACAUGUAAAUACAGGUACUGUACUUCAAUACUGUUUCCUGAUGUGUUUUCCUAAUGACCAGAGAGUACAGAUGUAGGAUCUUAAUUGGAUCACCGUGUUGCAUGAGAAUGUAUAGUGUAUUGGACAUAUUUGAGGUUUAAGAAGGCUUCUGAAGUUUGUAAUUUCCACUUUGAAAUUUCAGAUUGAUUUUACCUUUCGAAAAAUGUGUCAACCCCUGCAAUCUUCUUUUCAUGAAUUAGAAUUCACAUUUCCUGUUGCUGCAGGAUUAUUUUCCUGCUGUAGCAAACUGGCUCAAAUUAAGAUCCUACAUCUGUAAGCCUAUGUGUGAUCUUUUCUUUCCUCUUAGGAUAUGAUAUGAUUUCCUGUUGAUGCUACCGUACUGUAAAUACUACCAUACCGAUUGUGUGUCAGUGCUAUUCAUUCAUAGUGAUGGCAAGCUUCAGUGUGAUAGAGCAUGUGUCCGUUUACCAUGGAGCUACCAGCAAGGCCACUACUGAGAGGAUCCUGGGUGCAGUGGGGAGAGAUGGGAGCCAUCUACUCCGAGACAGUGAAAGUGAGGCCAAUACCUACUGCCUAUGUGUUCUACGGAGGGUAGAGUACAGACACGAUUAUUCAGGACGAUAAGGAAUCUGAUAGCUGCCUUUGGAAAUCCAUCUGACGAUGCCCCUCCUCUACCCUGUGGAAAACCAACACACUAACACUGACCAGCAGUACCUAUGAGAUGAUGGCUCCUCUUCAAAGAUACAAACUUUGACAACAAUAUAUAUAUAAAACAGUGAAACGAUUCAAUUUAAACCAUUUUUGUUUUGAUUAUUUUCAUGGACCAGCUAACAAUUUCAACCACUGAAUACACUCAUAUUAUUUCAUAAUACAAUGAAAGAAACAACAUCAAAACAUAUGGAUAAAGAAUUUGCACAUUUAUUUAUUAAAAGUCAAACCUUCAAAGUACCUUUUUUUAAUAAUAUGAACUUUCCACACCCAAUAUAUUAACUUCUUCUCAUUAUUUACACCCACUUCCUGGAGCACUUGCAGAAAAUACAUGCCUCUUGGUCAAAGCCCAGAGUAGAAAAUGCAAUCAAGCGAUAUCAGUGUUUUCAUACCAUACAAAUGUAUCUUGGCAAUCACACUGUCUUCGUUCUCGGAGUUACCCAACUGAGACAGUAUCAUCAAUAUGAACACCAAUGGGCAGAGCAUUAUUAAUUAUAUGGAGUACUAUCAAUUAAUUUACCCAAAAUAUGUUAUAUAGUAUACCAUAUAGCCUAUAUUUUGUACAAUUCAUUUUUGCAAUACACCCCAAUGACAAUUAAAGUAAAAAA